UUGAUCAUGGCUCAGAUUGAACGCUGGCGGCAGGCUUAACACNNNCAAGUCGAGCGGANACGAGAAUAGCUUGCUAUUCGGCGUCGAGCGGCGGACGGGUGACUAAUGCUUGGGAAUAUGCCUUUGAGUGGGGGACAACAGUUGGAAACGACUGCUAAUACCGCAUAACGUCUACGGACCAAAGGGGGGGAUCUUCGGACCUCUCGCUCAUUGAUUAGCCCAAGUGAGAUUAGCUAGUUGGUAAGGUAAUGGCUUACCAAGGCGACGAUCUCUAGCUGGUUUGAGAGGAUGAUCAGCCACACUGGGAGUGAGACACGGCCCAGACUCCUACGGGAGGCAGCAGUGGGGAAUAUUGCACAAUGGGCGAAAGCCUGAUGCAGCCAUGCCGCGUGUGUGAAGAAGGCCUUCGGGUUGUAAAGCACUUUCAGCGAGGAGGAAAGGNUGUUGUUUAAUACGCAACAUUCUGUGACGUUACUCGCAGAAGAAGCACCGGCUAACUUCGUGCC
rnacentral:rRNA from 1 species